UACAGAGGUGGCAAGCGUUGUUCGGAAUCACUGGGCUUAAAGGGCGCGCAGGCGGUCGGAAGGGUGUCUUGUGAAAUCCCUCGGCUUAACCGAGGAACUGCGAGGCAAACCGUCCGACUUGAGGCAGGUAGAGGUUGAUGGAACUCUGGGUGGAGCGGUGAAAUGCGUAGAUAUCCAGGGGAACGCCAAUGGCGAAAGCAGUCAACUGGGCCUGUCCUGACGCUGAGGCGCGAAAGCCAGGGGAG
rnacentral:rRNA from 1 species